UACGAAGGGGGCUAGCGUUGCUCGGAAUUACUGGGCGUAAAGCGCGCGCAGGCGGCAGUCUAAGUCCUCUGUGAAAUCACCCGGCUCAACUGGGUGGCUGCGGAGGAGACUGGGCAGCUUGAGGGGCCUAGAGGCCGGUGGAACUCCCGGUGUAGUGGUGAAAUGCGUAGAGAUCCGGAGGAACACCUGUGGCGAAGGCGGCCCCCUGGGCCGCACCUGACGCUGAGACGCGAAAGCGCGGGGAGCGAACGGG
rnacentral:rRNA from 1 species